UUCCGGUUGAUCCUGCCGGAGGUCACUGCUAUCGGGGUUCGAUUAAGCCAUGCGAGUCGAGAGGGUUCAGACCCUCGGCGGACUGCUCAGUAACACGUGGAUAAUCUGCCCUACGGUGGAGGAUAACCCCGGGAAACUGGGGAUAAUACUCCAUAAGUCAGGGGUACUGGAAUGUCUCCUAACUGAAAGUUGCGGCGCCAUAGGAUGAAUCUGCGGCCGAUUAGGUAGUUGUUGGGGUAACGGCCCAACAAGCCCGUAAUCGGUACGGGUUGUGGGAGCAAGAGCCCGGAGAUGGAAUCUGAGACACGAUUCCAGGCCCUACGGGGCGCAGCAGGCGCGAAAACUUUACAAUGCAGGAAACUGUGAUAAGGGAACCCCGAGUGCCCGUACACGCGGGCUGUCCCGGUGUUUAAAACACAUCGGAAGAAAGGGCCGGGCAAGACCGGUGCCAGCCGCCGCGGUAAUACCGGCGGCUCGAGUGGUGACCACUUUUAUUGGGCUUAAAGCGUUCGUAGCUUGAUUUUUAAGUCUCUUGGGAAAUCUCACGGCUUAACUGUGAGGCGUCUAAGAGAUACUGGGAAUCUAGGGACCGGGAGAGGUAAGAGGGACUUCAGGGGUAGAAGUGAAAUUCUGUAAUCCUUGAGGGGACCACCGAUGGCGAGGGCAUCUUACCAGAACGGCUUCGACAGUGAGGAACGAAAGCUGGGGGAGCGAACGGGAUUAGAUACCCCGGUAGUCCCAGCCGUAAACUAUGCGCGUUAGGUGUGCCUGUAACUACGAGUUACCGGGGUGCCGAAGUGAAAACGUGAAACGUGCCGCCUGGGAAGUACGGUCGCAAGGCUGAAACUUAAAGGAAUUGGCGGGGGAGCACCACAACGGGUGGAGCCUGCGGUUUAAUUGGAUUCAACGCCGGG
rnacentral:rRNA from 1 species